rnacentral:rRNA from 1 species
AACGAACGCUGGCGGCAUGCCUAACACAUGCAAGUCGAACGAGACCUUCGGGUCUAGUGGCGCACGGGUGCGUAACGCGUGGGAACCUGCCCUUAGGUUCGGAAUAACUCCCCGAAAGGGGUGCUAAUACCGGAUAAUGUCUUCGGACCAAGGAUUUAUCGCCUUUGGAUGGGCCCGCGUUGGAUUAGCUAGUUGGUAGGGUAAAAGCCUACCAAGGCGACGAUCCAUAGCUGGUCUGAGAGGAUGAUCAGCCACACUGGGACUGAGACACGGCCCAGACUCCUACGGGAGGCAGCAGUGGGGAAUAUUGGACAAUGGGCGAAAGGCUGAUCCAGCAAUGCCGCGUGAGUGAUGAAGGCCGUAGGGUUGUAAAGCUCUUUUACCCGGGAUGAUAAUGACAGUACCGGGAGAAUAAGCUCCGGCUAACUCCGUG